CAUAUCCUCCGGCGUCGGCUGCUGGUGCUGGGACGGCUUCUGGUGCUGGUGCUGGAGCUGGUUCUGGAGCCGGAGCUGGAGCUGCAUCUGCAGGUGGAGGAGGUGGUGGAGCUUCUACCCCAGCUCCUCCAGAAUAUCCAGCUUCUCCUC
ensembl:ncRNA F47B8.16 ncRNA